UUGAUGGAUUCUUAUGUUAUGCUGAUUGAACUGUCUGAUUCAUGGUAGAGCGGAGCUCCAAAGGGCUUGAGGCAAAUAAAGCACUCCAGAUAGUGCAAAUCAAUCUUAACGCCUCGUUGCUGGAUCUACCCUUCCGAACGACCUUCCUCCUCGUCGCAGUCUCCUUCGGCAGUCUCCUCCUCGCAGUCUCCUCCUCGCAAUCUCCUCCUCGUAGUCUCCUGCGGAAGUCUCCCCUGGCCUAUACCUGUUACCUUAGGCUAUGUGCGCGUGGAAUUGCAGACAAGCUUUGAUGAUUACAUAUUUCUGUUAAGUAAUUAUAUUAUGUUCAGUUUGUUAUAGUUGAUGUAAUAGAAUUUUGCAUUGUAGG
rnacentral:lncRNA from 1 species